UAGGAACCACCAACUUUCUUGCUUAUUUUUGUGGCUUUCUGAAAGUUUUACAUAUACACAUAUUCCCUCUCUCUCUCUUUCUCUCCACACACAUAGUCUCACACAGAAAAGUAUGUAUACGUAUUUGUACAGGAAAACUAUUAAGUAAACUAUAUUAAAGUAUUUAAAAAAUUUUUUGAAUGAUAAUAUUAGACACACAAAGUGACGGUGACCAAAAUUUUAAUAAUUUGGUGCUUGGAAUUUGAGCAUAAUAAAAUACAUUUUUCCCUGAACCUACAUAUAAUAUACUCAAAUGUAGUAAGAUUUCCAGAUAAUAAAGUUAGAAUUAAAUGUUUCCUUGAAUUAUAGUGCAAUGACCUGGGUCAAUGAGCUUGUUCAUUUAGGAGACAUUUCUGGAGGCCUGCUGUGUAUCAGGUUUGGUGCUUGGCACUGGAGCUGCAGUGGUGCCCAGAGAAGCAAGUCUUAGAUUUCUUAGGGCUUAGAGGCAGACAGGAUAGGUAUAUAUAUAUAUAUAUAUAUAUACAUUUUUUUUAAAGACUAUGUAUAUUAUGUGUAUUUUUGCAAGACCUCUAUGGGGAAGUGACAUUUAGAUGAGAAUUGAAAGAGGAGGAUCAGUUCUCCAGAAAAGAAUGGCAGAGAACUGAUCUGGAAAGAAGAGAAGAAUGAAGCAAACACCCCCACAUGGGCAGGAAGUUCUUAUGUCAAAGAAACAGAAAGAAAAACAAUGCGGCUCACUGAGGGAGAGGGGGAGAUACGUGGGGGUGCCAAUCGUGAAGGUACUUAUUAAGGAUUUUGAGCCCAAGUAUAAUAGCAAAUCAUGGAAGUGGCUUGUGUAAUGAAAUUUCAUAACUGUAGUUAGUUUUUACAGGAAGAGCUGUCAUUUUUUUGAGUAUAUUACAGAUCAGGCUUUGUGCUAAGGGUUUUAUCUGUACUGAAUUCAUAUUCACCCAACCCUAGAAUCACUUCCUAAAUAGGGAGAAAGUGACUCUGAGAACUUAUGCUGUUUUCACUGCAACCAGGUUGCCAGAACUUGGCAGGGCUGGCACUAGAAUUUAGGUCUCCUUCUCGGUAGCUUGUGUUCUUAAGCAUUCUACUAAUUGACUUUCUAAUGUAUUUAAUUAGGCCACUAGCAUAUCUCUCAGGAUGUGGAAGAAUCAGGCGCUAUCUGCUCUGUCUAUGAGUUUGCAGGACUUGUCGCUAAUAAUUAUUACUUGAGCAAUCUUCUGUGGUAGUAUUUAAAGACCAAGUAAAAGGAUCCCUCCUGGAUGACAGUCACCUUCCAGCUGAGGCCACCAUUUGGUCUGGUUAACAUGAGAAAAACCAUGAACUGUUAGGCUCCUUCCAGUUAGCAUUUAUUUGUGUAAUGAGCUGUGAUUAAAGGGCACCUCUAGGGCUACCCCGAAAUGGGACUGCCCCAGCUGGUUCUCAGCUUGUAGUCUUGUUUUGGGCCACUUUUCACAGCUCUGGCCUCUCCUUCCCAGAUCAAAACAAAAGGGGAGUUUGCUAAUGCAAAAACUACUCCUCAUGUCUUUUUCCUUCUUUAUCACCAAUCUUUCUUCACAUCAUCCACUAUUACUCUGUUUUUCUGGGAGCACACCUAUUUCUACAUAAGGUAGAGAUCUUGUUCUAGAUAAUCCAUUCAUAAUGUAUCAUUUGGCCUCAAAGUACUGUAGUUUAUUAGUAUUUAAAACAUUAACCCCUCUGGUUUGGGCCUUAUAUCAUUUAUUCAGUUCAUUCAUUUAAAUCUUUAUCUAUUUACUAUGCCCUCAUACCUGAGCUCUUUCUCUUCCCAGAAUUUCAUCACUUCCUAAAUCCAUGUCCACUUUUCUUAAGUUGACUUUCCUUCUCCUCGGAAAGUAUGAAGAGGACCCAACUGCUACUUCUUUUAAUGAAAACCCUUCUCUGAGCUGUUACAGUGACCAAAGCUUGAUGAAAUUUUUGUUAUUCUUAAAAUAGAAGUAUGAGAACUACUUAUUGCCAACCUUGUGGACCCACACCAAACUCUUCAUUUCAGAUAAGGAUUGCAGUAGAGGAAUAUUGACCACGUAGCUGUAUACAAAUAGAUCGGUGUGAAAAUCAUUUGAAAUAAACUGUGAAGCUUAGAGAUUUACUCUCUUUUUCAUCCUUCCCUAACUGUAUCCCAUCUCCAUGGGACACAGUGAAAGUGACUGAACGCCUCUGAAGUUCCAGGUGCUUUCUUUACAUAAUAUAUGCUUAACGGGAGUUCAUUCAAAAUAAGAACAACGGUAUAAUUCAUUGACCAAAGCAAUAAACUCUGAGAGUUAAGUGGGAUGUUAUUAAUAAAUACUCCAAGAUAAUAUAUGUGAAAGGUACUUUUCUGGGACAAAGAAAUUACACUUCACCUAAUAAUAAUUAAGCUGUCAAGAGUUCAGAAGGUAAACUGACGUUCACUUUAAUCAACAGUUUUUUUCCUUUUGUUCUUUCUCCUCACUCUUUCUGUUUCUCCUUGCUUUGUUUUGUUUUUCCCUAAACAAUGUUUAAAAAUUCAAAUAUUAAUUUACACUGGUUUUACCCAUCUUAUCAUGAGAUUUCUUUUAUUUUUACUAGUUUAUAUUUUAUUUUCUCCCAAAUGGCUGUGUAGAUCCCUACUUCUGGGGAAAAUAGACUAAGAUUUUCUGUAACUGGCCUUCUGUUCCAAAGGGAAGAGGUGUCGUGACUCAUAAAUUCCAUCUCUGGCCCAGAUGAUAUUACUCACGAUAUCCAAUCAUAAUUUAGUUUUGUCACUGAAGGCAAAUUCACUUGGCAGUUCUCACUAUUUUUAAUUAAAAAUGUUACAUAUCAAACUAGCAAAAUGUAUCUUAAUUUUAUAAUCUGUAUAAUUUAUCUCUUGGGAAUAGGCAUCCAGAUCUUAGUGUGAUUUCUGUAAUAAAUAGAGAUAAUCACUAUUAUUAUUAGUUGUAUGGGGAGAGACAAAAUCUUUUUGUUGCAAUGUGAAGGUGAUUUUGAUAAAGGAUCCAAGCAACAUUGUUGUACUCUGCAAUUUUGACUGGAAAAACAGUGAAAAUAAUAGUAAUAAAUAGGAGAUGGGAGAAAUAUUUCUAAAACAUUAUUUUUGACUCAGCAUAUAAAAAAUGAAAAGAAUAUUAGAUUGGAAGCUCAGAGGUUAAUAUUAUAUUUUUGGCUUGGCCUGUCAUAUAGACAAACUCUUUGAACCCCAGUUUUCUUAUUUAGAAAAUAGGUUACACUUUAUUAUAUGAUUGCCAAAAUUCUCUAAAAUGCUCUUUAUUAGCAAUAUGUAAUAAUUCUGUAACCCCCAGUAUGUUUGGACAAUUAGAAUUGCACUUGUUCCUGGCUCCAUCUCUUUGAUGUAGCUCUCAAAAGUCAAUUCACAUUGUGAAGCAGUGCUAUGGGGCAGAUAAGCUUAGUGACUUGAUAUCUUAUUUUAUGAUCCUUAGUCUCCUCAACUAUAAAAUAUAUGUAAUAGUGCUAUCUUCUGCCAUUGUAGUGAAGAUUAUAUGAAAUGGAGAAUCUUCUUGGUAUACUAAUUGGCAAAGAGUAUAUUGCAACUAUUAGUGCUAUUGUUAUUUUCGUUUUUAUUCAUCUCUGUCAUUUACAACUGAUGGUAUGUUAGCAUAGCAUGAAACUAAUCCUAGAAUCAUAAGUUCCCUUUGUAUUGACUCCUCCCUUCACAAAGAUGGGCCCUUCACUGACCACUGAGUGUGCUAAGCUCAUUCCUUUUUCUCUGUUUGCCCGAGAAGAUUCAGUUACCUUGAGUCUUCUUGAUUAUUUUGCCUAUCCAAAUCCCAUCAUCCAUCCUUUAAAGCUCAGCUCAAAUCCCACCUCUUCAGAUAAAUUCUGCCUCCACUAUAUCAGCCCACACUGGUUGUUCUUUUUUUUUUUUUUUUUUCCUUUUUUAGCUGCUCGUGGCACAUAGAAGUUCCUAGGCCAGGGAUUGAAUCUUAAAUUUGAUCUAUGCCACAGCUGUGGCAAUACCAGACCCUUAACCUUGGGCAGAGCCGGGGAUCAAACCCACACCACCACGGAGACAACAUCAGAUCCUUAACCACUGUACCACAGCGGGAACUCCACACUGGUUGUUUUCAGUUGUUUGUGCUAUACAAAAUCAUGUCAUAACUAAUAAAAGAACACCUUGGUGUAGUUAUCAGCAAAUGUAAGGGAAAGAGCCUGAGCUAUGUAGUUCACGCACCUCAUUCCCAUCCAAGUUUUUUUUUUUUAAACUAGGAAAUGAGUUAAGUGAUUUUUUAGAAGUAUUUUUCUCUGUUUCUAUUUUCUAAUUUUUAAAAUGGAAACCAUACUAUAUACCUCCAAAGGUUGCUUUGAAUUCUAAGUGAAAUAAACAAGUCAAGGACCUGAUAGAUAUUCCAAACUCCCUAUUGCCUGCUAUCAUAAUUUAUAAGAAAUGUCUGCUGAACUGAAUAUAUAUAGAAAUGCCUUAUCCCUCCCAAAGAGAAUAUGUCAUUUACAAUAGGGAUGAUUCUUUUUAAUUUUUUAUUACUAGAUAUAAUUUUUGAAUAUAUCAUAAGCAUUAAGUAAACAACUAUAUUAAAAUAUUCGUCAAUUAGACAAAGUCUGUUCUCAGCAGUUAAUGAACCCGACUAGGAUCCAUGAGGAUGUAGGUUCGAUCCCUGGCCUUGCUCAAUGGGUUAAGGAUCUGGUGUUGCUGUGAUCUGUGGUGUAGGUCACAGAUGCAGCUCAGAUUCUGUGUUGCUGUGGCUCUGGCAUAGGCUGGCAGCUGUAGCUAUGAUUUGACCCCUAGCCUGGGAACUUCCAUA
rnacentral:lncRNA from 1 species